UACAGAGGUCUCAAGCGUUGUUCGGAUUCAUUGGGCGUAAAGGGUGUGUAGGUGGCGCCGGUAAGUCGGGUGUGAAAUUUCGGAGCUUAACUCCGAAACUGCAUUCGAUACUGCGGUGCUUGAGGACUGGAGAGGAGACUGGAAUUCGAUGGUGUAGCAGUGAAAUGCGCAGAUAUCGGGAAGAAUAUCCGUGGCGAAGGCGGCUACUCUGGUACGGCACUGACGCUGAGACGCGAAAGCGUGGGGAGCAAACAGG
rnacentral:rRNA from 1 species